UUUUUUUUUUUUUCUUUUUUUUUUUUUCCCCUCUGAGACAGGGUUUCUGUAGCCCUGGUGUCCUGGAACUCACUUUUGUAGACCAGGCUGGCCUCGAACUCAGAAAUCCGCCUGCCUCUGCCUCCCGAGUGCCGGGAUUAAAGGCGUUAUGCUGCCAUGCCCGGCUGUGCUGGGGAGGGGGUGUUUCUCAUCUUUUAUUACUCUUAUUUUUUUAUCCAUAGGUUAGGAGAGUCCACUCAUAUAAAGCACUUGGGUAGAGAAUGGCUGUGUUUAAAUAUCAGGCACUUUGGAAUGAAUACUGAAAGGGAAGAAGUAAUGAUGAAGAAGAGAAUGAAUUGCAAAGUGCUUCUGAGGUUUCUCAUUUCUUACAGUUGAGACAUUUUCCUAAUAAUAUGUGUCUUUCAUGUCUUUUGACAUUUCCAGUUUACUUGAAUUAAUAUUAUGUUCUUAAAUAUAAAUAAAGUCUUGAGGAUUCUGUUAUUUUCCCUUAGUAGAGUUGGAGGUCUCCAUGGCAGCAAAGAACAGUAAAGUUGCUAAAAUAGUAGGACAGUCUUGUUUUGUUUUGCUGAGGUAGGUUUUUACAUAUCCCUGGCACCAUGUGGUUGCUGGGGAUUGAACUCAGGACCUCUGGAAGAACAGUCAGUGCUCUUAACCACUGAGCCAUCUCUCCAGCCCCCGUGAGAGCUUUAAAUGAUGUUUUUAUAGCUUAAGAGUUAUUUGAAACCACUGACUUCUGUGAUUCUUCUACUCUAUUACAGUUUCUUGAUAUUUUUCUCCUCUCUUUUUGUUAAGGGAAUGGUAACAGUGCUGAGAGUAUUAGACUAUAGAAUAGAAUAGAAGAAUUGUUGAAAUGUAAGUUAAGUUAUAUUUGUAAGUUACCUUAUAAUUAGCAAAUUGCUUUCUUGAGCAACGUGUUUUGAUGCUUGAAAUCACUUGAUAGAAUAUGUAAUAUUGCUAUUUAUAAGGAAAAAGUGGUGAGUCAUUUUCUUAUGCAUGUGUUAAUUGGAAGUUGAUUCAUACUGUUGCUUAUAAAUUUACACUCUUCGUUAUCUAUAGCAACACCAAAAAGAUGGUUAGAGAUUACCUGAAAAGUUAGUUCUGUCGUAGUUUCUAGUAUGUUUGCCAGUUUGUUCUGCUAUCACCUCUAAUUCUCCGUGUUUUCAUGGUUUCAAAAAUAUAACAUUGGCUUCAUUUCCUAUUUUCUUUUAUUCUGACUCCUGUGUCAUACUCUGAACUUUUUUUUUUUUUUUGGUACAUAAAAUAUGUGACCUUUUAUGCCUGCCCUUUCUUCACUUAGUCUAUAGGUAUGUCUAUUAUAACUUAAUUAUUUCUAUGGCUGCAUAAUAUUUCAUUGUAUAGAGUUCUCUUUCUUUUUUCUUCUUUUGAAGAUAGGGACUUGAAGUGUAGUCUGGUCUAGAGUCCACUGUGUAGCUCAGGCUGGCUCAGACUAAUUUUGUACUUCACGCUCACAUGGUAGGAUUAAAGGCAGGCACCCCAAGCCUGUUUCUGACUUUGUAUCUAUGGUGAUAGUGCUGAGAGUCUUAGACUGUACUAUGUGUCUUCAUGUAUUAGUUGAUGGCUAUUUCAAUUUCUACUUUUUGCCUGUAAGGAAAUAAUAGUAAUACAAGCUUCUCUCUAUAAUAGUGGUUCUCCCCCUUCUACCCUUUAAAACACCUCCUCAUGUUGUGCUGACCCCCAAACAUAACUGAAAUUUUGCUAGUUAUGAAUUUUAAUUUAAAUACCUGAUAUCCAGAAUAUCUGAUAGGCAACCAUUAUGAAAUGUCAUUUAAUCCCCAAAGGGCUCUCGGCCCACAGUUUGAGAACCACUGGUCUAUAACCAAUUUUUGUGUGUAAGUUAUUUCUCUAAGAUAAAGGUAAAAAUAUACCUGAAUAGGACAAAACAAAUGGACAAGAAAACAAAACAAAACAAAACAAGAACCAAGGAAUAAACACAAAUACGUACAGAUGGAGAGGCACGCAUAGUCACACCUUUUUUUUUGUUUUAAAAACAAAAACAAAACUCAGACAAAACAUGAUAUC
ensembl:sense_intronic Gm43061 predicted gene 43061